GGGAAUCUACCGUGCCCUGCGGAAUAGCUCCGGGAAACUGGAAUUAAUACCGCAUACGCCCUACGGGGGAAAGAUUUAUCGGGGUAUGAUGAGCCCGCGUUGGAUUAGCUAGUUGGUGGGAUAAAGGCCUACCAAGGCGACGAUCCAUAGCUGGUCUGAGAGGAUGAUCAGCCACAUUGGGACUGAGACACGGCCCAAACUCCUACGGGAGGCAGCAGUGGGGAAUAUUGGACAAUGGGCGCAAGCCUGAUCCAGCCAUGCCGCGUGAGUGAUGAAGGCCUUAGGGUUGUAAAGCUCUUUCACCGGAGAAGAUAAUGACGGUAUCCGGAGAAGAAGCCCCGGCUAACUUCGUGCCAGCAGCCGCGGUAAUACGAAGGGGGCUAGCGUUGUUCGGAAUUACUGGGCGUAAAGCGCACGUAGGCGGAUAUUUAAGUCAGGGGUGAAAUCCCAGAGCUCAACUCUGGAACUGCCUUUGAUACUGGGUAUCUUGAGUAUGGAAGAGGUAAGUGGAAUUGCGAGU
rnacentral:rRNA from 1 species